ACUCCUACGGGAGGCAGCAGUGGGGAAUAUUGCACAAUGGGCGCAAGCCUGAUGCAGCCAUGCCGCGUGUAUGAAGAAGGCCUUCGGGUUGUAAAGUACUUUCAGCAGUGAGGAAGGUGGGUAUGUUAAUAGCAUAUUCAUUUGACGUUAGCUGCAGAAGAAGCACCGGCUAACUCCGUGCCAGCAGCCGCGGUAAUACGGAGGGUGCGAGCGUUAAUCGGAAUUACUGGGCGUAAAGCGCAUGCAGGUGGUUUGUUAAGUCAGAUGUGAAAGCCCGGGGCUCAACCUCGGAAUUGCAUUUGAAACUGGCAAACUAGAGUACUGUAGAGGGGGGUAGAAUUUCAGGUGUAGCGGUGAAAUGCGUAGAGAUCUGAAGGAAUACCGGUGGCGAAGGCGGCCCCCUGGACACGAUACUGACACUCAGAUGCGAAAGCGUGGGGAGCAAACAGGAUUAGAUACCAUGGUAGGCUCUGC
rnacentral:rRNA from 1 species